UUUCAAAUGUGUUUUUUUCACUCGAUGUAAAGAGUUUCUCUUUCAGACGAAACAGACCCCCUUUUUUAAAGUUAAUGACAAUAACAUAGAGGAACAUCUAAUACAAGUGCGCCAUCGUCUGUAUCUCCUCCACCUUCUCCAGCAGCUUCACCACAUCAGAUUCCCGGUGUCCAUUGUUAAGCACAUGGCAUCUAUUCCCAC